rnacentral:snoRNA from 2 species
UGCAAAUUAUGUUUUUCUCACGAUGGUCUUCCGAGCCUGAGGCUCUGAUGACACUGCCUAAUGGCAACACUGAUGCAGUUAU